ACAGCCACAGUCACAAUCCAAACUGAAGGCCACAGGCCCAUAGUACAGGUAUAUACAAAGUUCAAAAGCAGAGUGGGUUUCUCUUCAUUAUCGCAUGGUAUAUGAACAAAGCAAUA